GAUCAUGGCUCAGGACGAACGCUGGCGGCGUGCUUAACACAUGCAAGUCGAACGAGAAUCUGAUGAAGGAGUUUUCGGACAACUGAUUCAGAGGAAAGUGGCGGACGGGUGAGUAACGCGUGAGGAACCUGCCUUGAAGAGGGGGACAACAGUUGGAAACGACUGCUAAUACCGCAUGAUGCAUAGGGGUCGCAUGAUCUUUAUGCCAAAGAUUUAUCACUUCAAGAUGG
rnacentral:rRNA from 1 species